UAGUGUUACACCUCUUUUAGAAUUUGUCUGGCAGGUUUUCCGGUCUUCACUGGAAGACACCCUG